rnacentral:lncRNA from 1 species
AGAUGCAUUUCCUCCUAAGAUUGUUUUAGUUUCACCCCAUAGGAGAUGCAUUUCCUCCUAGGUUUGUUUUAGUUUUACCCAUAGGAGAUGCAUUUCCUCCUAAGUUUGAGUUUUACCCAUAGGAGAUGCAUUUCCUCCUAAGUUUAGUUUAGUUUCACCCCAUAGGAGAUGCAUUUCCUCCUAAGGUUGUUUUAGUUUUACCCAUAGGAGAUGCAUUUCCUCCUAAGUUUAGUUUUUACCCAUAGGAGACGCAUUUCCUCCUAAGGUUGUUCUAGUUUUACCCAUAGGAGAUGCAUUUCCUCCUAAGUUUAGUUUUUACCCAUAGGAGACGCAUUUCCUCCUAAGUUUGUUUGAGUCUUACCCAUAGGAGAUGCAUUUCCUCCUUAGUUGGUUUUACCCAUAGGAGACGCAUUUCCUCCUAAGUUUAUGUUUUACCCAUAGGAGACGCAUUUCCUCCUAAUUUAAGUUUUACCCCCUAGGAGACGCAUUUCCUCCUAAGUUUUAGUUUC